AUGCAAGUCGAGCGAAUGAUGAAGAAGCUUGCUUCUUCUGAUUUAGCGGCGGACGGGUGAGUAACACGUGGGCAACCUACCUAGUAGAUUGGGAUAACUCCGGGAAACCGGGGCUAAUACCGAAUAAUUCAUUUCACCUCAUGGUGAGAUGCUGAAAGGCGGUUUCGGCUGUCACUACUAGAUGGGCCCGCGGUGCAUUAGCUAGUUGGUGGGGUAAUGGCCUACCAAGGCAACGAUGCAUAGCCGACCUGAGAGGGUGAUCGGCCACAUUGGGACUGAGACACGGCCCAAACUCCUACGGGAGGCAGCAGUAGGGAAUCUUCCACAAUGGACNAAAGUCUGAUGGAGCAACGCCGCGUGAGUGAUGAAGGUUUUCGGAUCGUAAAACUCUGUUGUAAGGGAAGAACAAGUAC
rnacentral:rRNA from 1 species